UUGGAACUAUAUACAAAUACAGAUGCCCUGGCCAUGUCUCCAGAGACCCAGAGAAGCUGAUUCGGAAGCGUGCAGUACUGUUGGUAAGAGCUCUGAAGCCAAUCUAAGUCUUGAUCCUUUAUCUCUGGGAACUCUGGAGGCCAACUUUUAUCCUCAAAGGUCAGACACCUCACUAAUAUGUGCCGAGAUCCCUGUGUGCGCUCAAAUUAGCUUGUGAACUAGUGCCUUGUGUCUGUGUCUUGCCCUCUUGCCCACCGUGGUGGCUUGGAUGACAUCUUCCGCUCUCCUGUCUUC